rnacentral:rRNA from 1 species
CGCUAUCAGAUGAGCCUAGGUCGGAUUAGCUAGUUGGUGAGGUAAUGGCUCACCAAGGCGACGAUCCGUAACUGGUCUGAGAGGAUGAUCAGUCACACUGGAACUGAGACACGGUCCAGACUCCUACGGGAGGCAGCAGUGGGGAAUAUUGGACAAUGGGCGAAAGCCUGAUCCAGCCAGUGCCGCGUGUGUGAAGAAGGUCUUCGGAUUUAAAGCACUUGAAGUUGGGAGGAAGGGCAGUUACCUAAUACGUGA